rnacentral:lncRNA from 12 species
AAAAAAGUCAGCCUUAAAAAAUAUGAAGAGAGAUCAUGAAGUAACAAUUUUGUCAUUGUUUGCUGUACACUUUCUCUGGCUCCCCAGGUACUCAACGAGCAUCACAAGCUGGGUGACACCGAGCUCAGCACUGGCACGAUGUGGACAUGCACAAAACAUGCACAAAAAGGGAGCACAACAUCACUGCAGGCUAAACCUCCGUGGCCGUGGCACACACGUGGAGAGGCAUCUCCUCUCUGGGAAGAUCAAACCCUUGGAUGCAAGACAAUUUCCUUUUCAGAGGCCAAGUCCCCACUUGAGACUGCAGGACUUAUUUCCCCAGUAGGAAUUGGUGGAGGAUCAUCACUACAUUAAGG